GACGAACGCUGGCGGCGUGCCUAAUACAUGCAAGUCGAGCGCAGGAAACUGACGGAACUCUUCGGAGGGAAGGCAGUGGAAUGAGCGGCGGACGGGUGAGUAACACGUAAGGAACCUGCCUCAAGGAUUGGGAUAACUCCGAGAAAUCGGAGCUAAUACCGGAUAGUUCAUCGGACCGCAUGGUCCGUUGAUGAAAGGAGCUCCGGCGUCACCUUGAGAUGGCCUUGCGGUGCAUUAGCUAGUUGGUGGGGUAACGGCCCACCAAGGCGACGAUGCAUAGCCGACCUGAGAGGGUGAUCGGCCACACUGGGACUGAGACACGGCCCAGACUCCUACGGGAGGCAGCAGUAGGGAAUCUUCCACAAUGGACGAAAGUCUGAUGGAGCAACGCCGCGUGAGUGAUGAAGGUUUUCGGAUCGUAAAACUCUGUUGUAAGGGAAGAACACGUACGAGAGGAAAUGCUCGUACCUUGACGGUACCUUACGAGAAAGCCACGGCUAACUACGUGCCAGCAGCCGCGGUAAAAC
rnacentral:rRNA from 1 species